GACAGAGGUCCCGAGCGUUAGGCGGAAUCACUGGGCUUAAAGCGUGUGUAGGCGGAUCGUUAAGUGCUUUGUGAAAUCCCACGGCUUAACCGUGGAACUGCUUGGCAUACUGGCGAUCUUGAGCCACCUAGGGGCAACCGGAACAAACGGUGGAGCGGUGAAAUGCGUAGAUAUCGCUUGGAACGCCGAAGGUGAAAACAGGUCGCUGGGGUUGUGCCGACGCUGAGACACGAAAGCCAGGGGAGCAAACGGG
rnacentral:rRNA from 1 species